AGGUAGUACUUUUGACAAAAACCUAUUUGCUACGGCGGCAUAUCAUCUAUUUAGAGGAACUUGCUAUAUAAUCGAUAACCCACGAUAAAUUUCACUUUUUUAUAAAAUUUAUAUACCGCCAUCUAAAGAAAUAAUUCUAAUAUAUUCUUCUAAAAAAUAAAUAAAAAGUUAGGUCAAGGUGUAAUCUAUAUUAAAGGAUUAAGUGAGUUACACUAAAUAUAAUUUAUAGAUCAAUUAAUAAUAAUUUUUCAUGAAAUAGGAUUUAUAAGUAUUAUUAGAAUAAUAAUUUUCUUUGAAAGAGGGAAUAAAUGUGC
rnacentral:rRNA from 1 species